rnacentral:rRNA from 1 species
UACGAAGGGGGCUAGCGUUGUUCGGAUUUACUGGGCGUAAAGCGCACGUAGGCGGAUCGUUAAGUCGGGGGUGGAAUCCUGGAGCUCAACUCCAGAACUGCCUUCGAUACUGGCGAUCUAGAGUCCGGAAGAGGUGAGUGGAACUCCUAGUGUAGAGGUGGAAUUCGUAGAUAUUAGGAAGAACACCAGUGGCGAAGGCGGCUCACUGGUCCGGUACUGACGCUGAGGUGCGAAAGCGUGGGGAGCAAACAGG